rnacentral:rRNA from 1 species
AGAGUUUGAUCCUGGCUCAGAGUGAACGCUGGCGGCGUGCUUAACACAUGCAAGUCGAACGAGAACGGGUUAUAGCUUGCUAUAACUGUCAGCUAAGUGGCGCACGGGUGAGUAAUAUAUAGGUAAUGUGCCCUAGAGAAGAGGAUAACAGUUGGAAACGACUGCUAAUACUCUAUAUGCCUUUAAGACAAAAGUCUGCAAGGGAAAUAUUUAUAGCUCUAGGAUCGGCCUGUACGGUAUCAGCUAGUUGGUGAGGUAAUGGCUCACCAAGGCAAUGACGCCUAACUGGUUUGAGAGGAUGAUCAGUCACACUGGAACUGAGACACGGUCCAGACUCCUACGGGAGGCAGCAGUGGGGAAUAUUGCACAAUGGGGGAAACCCUGAUGCAGCAACGCCGCGUGGAGGAUGACACAUUUCGGUGCGUAAACUCCUUUUAUAUAGGAAGAUAAUGACGGUACUAUAUGAAUAAGCGCCGGCUAACUCCGUGCCAGCAGCCGCGGUAAUACGGAGGGCGCAAGCGUUACUCGGAAUCACUGGGCGUAAAGAGCGUGUAGGCGGGUUAAUAAGUUUGAAGUGAAAUCCUAUGGCUCAACCAUAGAACUGCUUUGAAAACUGUUAACCUAGAAUAUGGGAGAGGUAGAUGGAAUUUCUGGUGUAGGGGGUAAAAUCCGUAGAGAUCAGAAGGAAUACCGAUUGCGAAGGCGAUCUACUGGAACAUUAUUGACGCUGAGACGCGAAAGCGUGGGGAGCAAACAGGAUUAGAUACCCUGGUAGUCCACGCCCUAAACGAUGUACACUAGUUGUUGUGAGGCUAGACCUUGCAGUAAUGCAGUAAACACAUUAAGUGUACCGCCUGGGGAGUACGGUCGCAAGAUUAAAACUCAAAGGAAUAGACGGGGACCCGCACAAGCGGUGGAGCAUGUGGUUUAAUUCGACGAUACCCCGAAAAACCUUACCUUGGACUUGACAUAAUAAAAAACUUUCUUAGAGAAAAAAUUGGUGGUCUGCUUUGCGAAAACUUUAUAUAACAGGUGUGUGCCCGGGUGUUUUUCAGCUCCUUGUCCUUGAAAAGUUUGGGGUUAAAUUCCCGCCACCAAGAGGCGAACCCUCCGUCCUUUAGUUUCGUA